AUGGCAUUCUGCCCUUUUUCUUUAGUAAAACCCUAGAUUUUAACCCACCUUUUAUUUGUUCUGCCGUUUUUUAGAAAAAGAAAGUAACGCCCCCCAAAUCUCUGCUAGGGUUUCAACCCAGCUUUGGGGAAGCCGCAAUGGAGGGUCAUCGGCACUUCUAUUCCUCCGUCACCGACACCGAUCACGGCGUGAACCCAGGUACAUGGGCAUGCACGCCUCUAACGUGGAGUGGUGGAGCAGCGCACGACGCGGAGGGGCGCGCGACGUGCGGUGCCUGGAGACCGACUUGGUUGUG